rnacentral:rRNA from 1 species
UAGAGUUUGAUCCUGGCUCAGAUUGAACGCUGGCGGCAGGCCUAACACAUGCAGGUCGAGCGGCAGCGGGAAAGUAGCUUGCUACUUUUGCCGGCGAGCGGCGGACGGGUGAGUAAUGCCUGGGGAUCUGCCCGGUCGAGGGGGAUAACUACUGGAAACGGUAGCUAAUACCGCAUACGCCCUACGGGGGAAAGCAGGGGACCUUCGGGCCUUGCGCGAUUGGAUGACCCCAGGUGGGAUUAGCUAGUUGGGGAGGUAAUGGCUCACCAAGGGCGACGAUCCCUAGCUGGUCUGAGAGGAUGAUCAGCCACACUGGAACUGGGACACGGUCCAGACUCCUACGGGAGGCAGCAGUGGGGAAUAUUGCACAAUGGGGGAAACCCUGAUGCAGCCAUGCCGCGUGUGUGAAGAAGGCCUUCGGGUUGUAAAGCACUUUCAGCGAGGAGGAAAGGUUGGUAGCUAAUAACUGCCAGCUGUGACGUUACUCGCAGAAGAAGCACCGGCUAACUCCGUGCCAGCAGCCGCGGUAAUACGGAGGGUGCAAGCGUUAAUCGGAAUUACUGGGCGUAAAGCGCACGCAGGCGGUUGGAUAAGUUAGAUGUGAAAGCCCCGGGCUCAACCUGGGAAUUGCAUUUAAAACUGUCCGGCUAGAGUCUUGUAGAGGGGGGUAGAAUUCCAGGUGUAGCGGUGAAAUGCGUAGAGAUCUGGAGGAAUACCGGUGGCGAAGGCGGCCCCCUGGACAAAGACUGACGCUCAGGUGCGGAAGCGUGGGGAGCAAACAGGACUAGAUACCCUGGUAGUCCACGCCGUAAACGAU